CGCUGCUAAGCUAUCCCUCGCUGCUAAGCUAUCCCUCGCUGCUAAGCUAUCCCUCGCUGGCUAUCCCUCACUGCUAAGCUAUCCCUCACUACUAAGCUAUCUAUCGCUGCUAAUCUAUCGCUGCCAACCUAUCUAUCGCUGCCAACCUAUCUAUCGCUGCCAAUUUAUCUACCACUGUCAAUCUAUCUAUCGCUGCUAAUCUAUCGCUGCUGUCAAUCUAUCUAUCACUGCUAAUCUAUCGCUGCCAACCUAUCUAUCGCUGCCAACCUAUCUAUCCCUGCCAAUUUAUCUACCACUGCCAAUCUAUCUAUUGCUGCCAAUUUAUCUACCACUGCCAAUCUAUCUAUCACUGCUAAUCUAUCGCUGCUGUCAAUCUAUCUAUUGCUGCUAAUCUAUCUAUUGCUGCUAAUCUAUCACUGCUAAUCUAUUGCUGCUGCCAAUCUAUCUAUCGCUGCUAAUCUAUUGCUGCUAAUCUAUCGCUGCCAACCUAUCUACUGCGGCGAAUCUAUCUAUUGCUGCCAACCAACCUACCUACCACUGCCAACCUAUCUAUCGCUGUCAAUCUAUUGCUGCCAAUCUAUCGCUACCAACCUAUCUACUGCAGUGAAUCUAUCUAUCACUAUCAUUACUAGUUCAAAAUAGAACUAGAGCAUAAAUACACUAAACUUCUUUUGAUAGAUAAUGAUUUUUGAUAACACUCAUAGCAUUAUAUCAUCUAUAUAGGGUAAAUCAUGGUCCCAUUUGGUCCCAUUUUACAAAAUGGGACCAAAUGGGACCAGAAUCAGUAAUUUAUAAGAAGAACAUGACCUGGGACU
rnacentral:sRNA from 1 species